ACCUGGGAACUGCAUUCGAAACUGGCAGGCUAGAGUCUUGUAGAGGGGGGUAGAAUUCCAGGUGUAGCGGUGAAAUGCGUAGAGAUCUGGAGGAAUACCGGUGGCGAAGGCGGUCCCCUGGACAAAGACUGACGCUCAGGUGCGAAAGCGUGGGGAGCAAACAGGAUUAGAUACCCUGGUAGUCCACGCCGUAAACGAUGUCGACUUGGAGGUUGUGCCCUUGAGGCGUGGCUUCCGGAGCUAACGCGUUAAGUCGACCGCCUGGGGAGUACGGCCGCAAGGUUAAAACUCAAAUGAAUUGACGGGGGCCCGCACAAGCGGUGGAGCAUGUGGUUUAAUUCGAUGCAACGCGAAGAACCUUACCUACUCUUGACAUCCAGAGAACUUUCCAGAGAUGGAUUGGUGCCUU
rnacentral:rRNA from 1 species